UACGGGGGGAGCAAGCGUUGUUCGGAUUUACUGGGCGUAAAGGGCGCGUAGGCGGCCAGCACAAGUCAGUUGUGAAAUCUCCGAGCUUAACUCGGAAAGGUCAACUGAUACUGUGCGGCUAGAGUGCGGAAGGGGCAACUGGAAUUCUUGGUGUAGCGGUGAAAUGCGUAGAUAUCAAGAGGAACACCUGCGGCGAAGGCGGGUUGCUAGGCCGACACUGACGCUGAGGUGCGAAAGCGUGGGGAGCAAACAGG
rnacentral:rRNA from 1 species